GUAACGGCGAGUGAAGCGGCAACAGCUCAAAUUUGAAAUCUGGCCGCAAGGUCCGAGUUGUAAUUUGCAGAGGAUGCUUUUGGCGAGGUGCCUUCCGAGUUCCCUGGAACGGGACGCCAUAGAGGGUGAGAGCCCCGUACGGUAGGACCACCGAGCCUUUGUAAAGCUCCUUCGACGAGUCGAGUAGUUUGGGAAUGCUGCUCUAAAUGGGAGGUGUACGUCUUCUAAAGCUAAAUACCGGCCAGAGACCGAUAGCGCACAAGUAGAGUGAUCGAAAGAUGAAAAGCACUUUGAAAAGAGGGUUAAAAAGUACGUGAAAUUGUUGAAAGGGAAGCAUUCAUGACCAGACUUGGGCUUGGUUGAACAUCCGGCGUUCUCGCCGGUGCACUCUGCCAGUCCAGGCCAGCAUCAGUUUGCCCCGGGGGACAAAGGCGGUGGGAAUGUGGCUCUCUCCGGGGAGUGUUAUAGCCCGCCGUGUAAUGCCCUGGGGCGGACUGAGGAACGCGCUUCGGCUCGGAUGCUGGCGUAAUGGUCAUCAAUGACCCGUCUUGAAACACGGACCAAGGAGUCGUCUUCGUAUGCGAGUGUUCGGGUGUCAAACCCCUACGCGAAAUGAAAGUGAACGUAGGUGAGAGCUUCGGCGCAUCACCGACCGAUCCUGAUGUUCUCG
rnacentral:rRNA from 1 species